UGCAUGCACUACUGUAAGUCGCUCUGGAUAAGAGCAUCUGCUAAAUGACUAAAA
rfam:Salmo salar isolate Sally breed double haploid chromosome ssa18, whole genome shotgun sequence.